AUAAAUAAGCGGUGGAAAAGAAACCAAACGGGAUUUCCUUAGUAACGGCGAGCGAAAAGGAAACAAGUCCAGCACCAAGUCUUGAUACCUAGGUAUUCAAGAGAUGCGGUGUUUGAUGUAUCGAUUAUCAUGCAUUGUUCCAGGUUUCAAGUUCCUACGACCGGGACUUCCAGAGCGGGUGUAAGACCCAUAGAGACUUUUGGAACUGRUGUAUGCUUUGCGAUACAUUCUAGAGUCAGGUUGCUUGAGAGUGCAGCUUAAAUUAGGUGGUAAACUCCAUCCAAGACUAAAUAUUACAGCGAGACCGAUAGCAAACAAGUACCGUGAGGGAAAGUUGCAAAGCACUUUGAAGAGAGAGUUCAAAAGAACGUGAAACCACUGGGAGGCAAACGGAUGGAACCACGAAGUUGGCGCUCCACUCGAUUCAAUCAUCAUCAUUUGUUAAUUGUUUUCAAAUUGGAACUUUUCGGAGUUUGUUUGGAARCAAUUUGCAACGAAUGAUGUUGGUGCAUUUCGUUUAGUGGAGAUGCAAAGCCACGUUCAACUAGAAAGUUGGGACGGCAUUGAUGAUAGGAACUAAGAAAGGUGCCCGUCAAGUGCCUAGCAUUUGACGGUGUUAUAGUCUUGGUUCGGAACCGUCWCCAAACAAACUGGUUGAUAAAAUUUCUCCCAAUUGGGAGUAUUCCUUACAUUUGCCUACGAUUGUUAGUCUAUUUGUACAUUGAUGUUGUUUGUGUAUCUUUCGAUGCGGAAAUACUCGAUGUACAGGUAGGUUAAUAGUUGUUUGCACAAUGUAAGUGGAACUGUGGCGUGAGUAGGUCGGUCUCCAUCCGACCCGUCUUGAAACACGGACCAAGGAGCCUAUCAUGUACGCGAGUCGCUCGGUCUUGUUUAGGCCUGGGAGGCGAAAUGAAAGUAAUUGUUACGAGAUCCUUAUGGAUUGCAGUAACAGCUCGCCCACUUUGUUUAAUUUGGCAAUAUGGCGAAGCUGGAGCGUAUACGAUGGUACCCGAAAGAUGGUGAACUAUGCCUGGGCAAGACGAAGCCAGAGGAAACUCUGGUGGAGGUCUGUAGCGAUUCUGACGUGCAAAUCGAUCGUCAGACCUGGGUAUAGGGGCGAAAGACUAAUCGAACCAUCUAGUAGCUGGUUCCCUCCGAAGUUUCCCUCAGGAUAGCAGGCAUUUUUGGAAGUAGUCUCAUCCGGUAAAGCUAAUGAUUAGAGGUCUUGGGGUUGAAACGACCUCAACCUAUUCUCAAACUUUAAAUGGGUGAGAUGGUUGACUUUCUUGAUUGAAGCCAACCAUUUGGAUACAAGUGCCUAGUGGGCCAUUUUUGGUAAGCAGAACUGGCGCUGUGGGAUGAACCAAACGUCGAGAUAAGGCAUCAAAUGCUGUACGCUCAUCAGACCCCAUGAAAGGUGUUGGUUGCUAUAGACAGCAGGACGGUGGCCAUGGAAGUCGGAAUCCGCCAAGGAGUGUGUAACAACUCACCUGCCGAAGCAACUAGCCCUGAAAAUGGACGAUGCUGUAGCGUGGGGCCGAUACUCGACCGUUACAGUGAAUCUACUGAAAUAAGAUACUGUAACGAGUAGGAGGGUCGCAGUGUUGGCGUUGAAGGUGUCCGGCGUGAGCCGGCCUGGAGCCAUCAUUGUU
rnacentral:rRNA from 1 species